GUCCCUGUAGCGCAAGAGAUAGCGUGUUGGAGUUCUCAUCCAAAAGCCGUGGGUUCGAAUCUCACCUGGGAUG